rnacentral:tRNA from 1 species
AUUUAAAUAGUUUAAUAAAAAUAUUGAUUUGUGGAAUCAAAGAUAUAGGGUCUAUUUUAAAUA